CGUUUGCUAAUAUGUUGAGGAGAACUAGGAGGUUAGCGAAGCAGUACUGCUUCAGGAAGAGUAAAGAAACCCUAGAACGCACCAAGUACGAGAAGAAGCGCAAGAUUACGGCUUCUAUACAAGAGGGGAAACCGAUUCCGAAUGAGCUUCGAAAUGAAGAGGCCAAGCUUCGUCAAGAAAUCGAUCUCGAAGAUGACAAUACUGCUGUCCUGUGGACACAUAUCGAUGAUGAGUAUGCCAAAGCAUCCAAAAGAGAUCCCAAAAUAUUGCUAACUACUUCCAGGGAUCCGAGUGCUCCAUUAUUACAAUUCACGAAGGAACUGAAACUUGUAUUUCCUAAUGCACAAGUUCUUUCUGAAAUUGUUGAAAGUUGCCGUGCACAUGACUACUCAGAUGUUGUGUUGGUACAUGAACAGCGGGGUAAACCUAAUUGUUUGAGUGUAUGCCACCUUCCUUAUGGACCAACAGCUUAUUUUGAACUAUGCAAUGUGGUUUCAAGACAUGACAUCAAGGACAAGAAAGCCAUAGGAACGGUGCCACAGGCUUAUCCACAUCUGAUCAUUAACAAUUUCACGACUAAGUUGGGUGAGCGGACAGCAAAUAUUUUAAAGCAUCUUUUUCCAGUGCCAAAGCCAGAUACAAAACGCAUAAUCACUUUUACAAAUAAGCAGGACUACAUUUUGUUCAGGCAUCAUAUUUAUGACAAGCCCGGAGGGUCCGUAAAUCUGUUGAGCUGAAGGAGAUUGGUCUGCGGUUUGAGUUGAAGCUUUCAAGAUUAAGUUGGGGACAGUGGAUCAAUAUGAAGCCCAGGAUGAGUGGGUCCUCAAACCCUACAUGAACACAGCUAAGAAACAGAAGUACAUAGGGAACUGAUAUGGCACAAGGGUCAUCUAGAAACAUUUGGGCAGCAUAUGGGCAGGUCAAAGACUCAGAGAACCAAACCCUGAUCUUGUGUGAUACUGCUUGUCUUUCUUUUGAGUUCUUGAAAUCGAGAUUUUGUAAUAACUUAAUAAGCAUAGAGCAAUGUUCUAGCCAGUGUAAUAUAUGGAAUUUUACCUUUC